ACAUGAUGGAAUGAGCUCUGUUCUUUCUGUGAUACACAUAGUUUUUCUUUUGUGUUCUUUUUUCCACAGUUUUCUUCGAAAAAUGUUGCACACCGUUAUUUUCACAUUUCAAAAAUAGCUCCUGUUGUUGAUGAUUGGCUGUUGCGCAAUUCCUGUCCGCAAUCGAUACAGGUAUCGAGUGUGAGUCGAGUUUUAUUAACGAAGUAUUCGCUAUAUCCGACAGAUGUCGCCAGCAUGUAAGAACUCGAAUCUGAGUAUUGAUUUUCAAUCCAUUAAACUCAAGGGAAGUAACUACAGCUGCUACUUUUCUGUCCACAUCGCCUACAACACCAAAUAACAGAAGUCAGAAGUUAAACAGCAGAGACAUAUAUUGCCUAUGAGUACAAUGGUUUUUGAUGAGAGAAGAUUCCUUCUGGAUUUAAGAAAAUGGUGUUCAGUUUGCCAUACAUGCCCCAAGCAAAAAGAUAUGUCAACCGUAUAAAAUGUUACCAGAAUUAUUAUCCCAAAUUAAGAAGGAACAUAGAAGUAGUGUUCUCAUUGAUAACAUACUAACCACAUAUGCGAAGGUACUUGGACAGGAACCGUCAUAUGCUUCAGCUUACGAAAAGCAUUAAAUUUUGUGGAGAAUUUUGAACCAAAAUAUACCAUCAAAUUGGCUCCCAAGAGCAGUAAGGCAAAUUUGCUCCAGAAUUGUUCUGAUAGUUCUAAAGUUUGAUGGUAAAUUAUUGCCGUGUUAUCUUUGUGAAAAUGUGUGCCAUUUUUCUUUUGUGUAUACUUUUUGAAAAUUGAUAAUAUCUGUAAAAUGUAGAUACCAGAUUAUUAACAGUACGUACUAAGAAAUGCAUAAUAAUCUGUAAUUUUCAGACUAAGAGUAGAAGAUGUCCCUUUAUUCCAUUUUUCAUUAAAUUUGUUUGUCAGAAACUCAUCUUGCAUAUUCCUUGUAACCGCUCAUCAAUCCCUUUAAUGGCUUAUGUUAAUUCUGCACCUGUAAUGAAUCCAACUUUUAGGUCAUAAGGCUUGUUAUUGUCCACUAAUUGUCGUGUUUUGUCGGCUUGAACUUGGACCCGAGCCAAGCGGGAGUUGAUGUUACAUUUCCUUUUGAGGCAUGUUUACGGUAAAAAAAAGGAGUUUUGCCAACUGUUGCAACACAACACUGCGUGAGUUUGGGAGAAGUGGGCGUAUACUUGCGGAGGUGGCAGUAAUUUAUAAGAGGAUUGUGAAAUUAAUAAAGUGGUUAAUUGAUUUACUACGAACUGGCCGUGAACAUAAAUGAGAUGAGUCGUUGCCUACCGACUAGCAGAGCUAAGCAAAUAUCCCUGAGAGAUCCCGAGGACCCAACACACUCCACCAGUUACACACGGUCCGGGAUGGACUACAGUGUGUGAUCAGCCACACUGGUCCGUGGGAACGAUCGGUUACAGUGUGGUUAAAUCAGAGGUUCUCAAAGUGUGGGGCGCGCCCCCGUGGGGGGAGGGGAGCGAGUGGUUUUCUGGGGGAGGGGUUGUUUAUAUGAAAAACCUUUUUUUUAACGAAAUAUGGAGAAACAUUUUUAACAUCCUACCUGUGCGAGACUGGAUUUUCAGCUGAAGCUGCCAUCAAAACAAAGUAUCAUUUUACGAUGAACCUGGAAAACGACCUUGGAGUGACCAUUUCAAAACUCGAACCUCGGUAUGAUAAGUUAUGUUCACAGAAGCAACCACAUUCAUCCCACUAAUCCAGGAAUAUUUUUUUUCAGACCAUUAAGCAAUUCUUGCACAAUUUUUUUUUCAUGACUGAUGUACGUACGAGAUGUAAUUUCAUCUGUGCUGAUUCUUUGGCUGCCUCUGGUUUGCUGAUUGAUCAGUUCCUUAACCUCUUCUUAUAUCGCAACAGCGGACGUCCAGAACACCUUCAUCAAUUAGCUUCCGAACACUGAAUCUGUAUCAGAGAUAGUCGUUCUUUUUGGUAUAUUCUGAAUGGCAAUGAACAGUGUUGUGUUCGCGAGACGUUGUCGGAAGCUGAGUUUGAACUCGCCGUAGUGUUUGCAGAUGUUACGACGCCCUCGGUUUCGUUGUAGUUUUAUUGUUCAAUCUCUGGCUAUGUUCGAAACGACUAUGCUGUUCCAUUUCGUGUGGUUGGAAGUUGAAUGAGGAGAGACGAGGGUGAGAUAUGGCCGCCGAAUUUUUCUUACGAAACAUCUCGUUGAUGCUCGUAAGGUUCAUUUGCGUGCCGUAAAUCGACGACAUGGAGCCGCCGGCUGAAGGAAGUUGUGUUAUGGAUUUUUAUCACACCUUAAAAAUCCAUCGACCUCGGCCGGGUCUGAACCCGCGUACCUUUGGUCCAGUGGUGAUCACAUUAACCAUUAGUCUACCGAGGGUGACAAGUUCAUUCAAAUAUUACUUUGCCAAAAUAACAGCAGGGAAGUUUAUGAACAUGUUUUCUAUUUAAUAUUCUUAAAUUUAUAAUUCAUAUUUAAUUAGAAACUGUUUAACAAAAUCUAAACAGUUUAGGUAUUUAACAGAAAACUAAACUAUUUAACUAUUUAAAAA